CUGGGUGGAGGGACCCUGUUGGCCUGUGGGCUGUACCCUGAGUCACAGCAGGGACCCUCCAGAGCCUGUGGAGAUCUGUGCCCACCCGGAGCAUGUUCCCAUGUCUGAGGGAGCAUGACAUGAAACAGCAAAUGAAAACACCGGGAUGGGUCGAGAGAGGACCACGGAGAAUGGGAAAGUUUCACAGCCCGUCUUUCCUGCUCCACGUGUCCAUUUCACACAUGAUACAGCUGGGGCCAGAAGCCUGGGAGAGAGGCUGGGACAUUAACGCGGCAGGUUGCGGGGAGCCACCGAAUACAGAAGUGACAUGUAAAAGCUGUUGUGAUUGUUCCGGCUCCCGCCAGGGGACACCACCGUUUCCCUCCUCCAGACAACACCGCUGAUCUUGUUAGGGACGCUUUUUCCUUUGAGGUCUGUAUACGUGAAUCGUAAAGGAAGAAGCUGAGUCGGCCGGGCCCCCAGGAGGCUGUCGGGGGCCUCACCGAGUUGGAAGCGUGGGCUUGGAGAGGAAGGGCAGACAGAGAGUUUCCACAGAGAAGUGUUGCCACAACGAGGUACCAGCUCGGCUCAGGUUGGGGAUGAAGGACGGGCCGGAACUGAAGACAACACGGGGCUUCGCAUGCAGGAAGAAUGCUGGAUGAGCUGGUGCCUGAGGUGCUGGCCAGUCAGGGCCUCGUUGGGGGUGCUGUGCCUGGAACCGUGGAGGAGAUAAAGCUGACCCUCUCCAGGAGGGUCCACCCCGGAUGUGAUGUGUCAGACUCCAGGCCUGUGGUCUCAUCCUCUGAAACGGACUGUAGUGAGAUUUCAUGAUGAUGCAGGUAAAUGGCCUUUGUUGAGCGAGUCGUUCACUCUGAAGCCAUGUUCUGGGAUUUCAGAGCAGCGAUGCUGCAGUGGCAGGACUCAUCGUCAAGGGUUGUCAACCAACCACAGCUUACGUGGCCUUAAAAACCCACUUAGGGAAAUCAAUACCUUCAAAUGUCUGGCCAGCGUUGCCCGUUUGUAGGGUUCAGUGGGAGUAGGAGCUCUUGGGGAGCAGUGGGGUGGAGUCGCACCAUUUACUCCAGGCCUUGCUGCGUGCUGCGCUCUCAUUGUUAAAUGCCUGCAGACAGUUCUAGCAGA
rnacentral:lncRNA from 1 species